AUUGAACGCUGGCGGCAGGCUUAACACAUGCAAGUCGAGCGAGAGGCGGACGGGUGAGUAAUGUCUGGGAAACUGCCUGAUGGAGGGGGAUAACUACUGGAAACGGUAGCUAAUACCGCAUACCAUCAGUUGUGCCCAGAUGGGAGUAGCUAGUAGGUGGGUUAAUGGCGCACAUAGGCGACGAUCCCUAGCUGGUCUGAGAGGAUGACCAGCAACACGGGGACUGGUACACGGUCCAGACUCCGACGGGAGGCAGCAGUGGGGAAUAUUGCACAAUGGGCGCAAGCCGGAUCCAGCCAUGCCGCGUGUGUGAAGAAGGUCUUCGGGGUGUAAAGCACGUUCAGCGGGGAGGCGUUACUCACAGAGGAAGCACCGGCUAACUCCGUGCCAGCAGCCGCGGUAAUAC
rnacentral:rRNA from 1 species